rnacentral:lncRNA from 10 species
AAGAAGUAUAUGCAAAUGAGCUUUUUCUAAUGUACUAAAAUAUACACCCUUCCAUCCUUUGGUUUAUUACAUGAAGAAUGUAGUAAGAAACAAGAGUUUCUAGGUGAAUGAAUAUAUUUCUGUGGAUUUUCAAUGGUAGUAUCUGUAUUUUUAAAAUAAAAAUAAAAACAAUCACACCUAGACACAUCAUAUUGAAACUGCAGUAAAUUCAAAAUAA